UACAGAGGGUGCAAGCGUUAAUCGGAAUUACUGGGCGUAAAGCGUGCGUAGACGGUUACAUAAGUCGGGUGUGAAAGCCCCGGGCUCAACCUGGGAAUUGCAUUCGAGACUGCGUAGCUAGGGUGCGGAAGAGGGAAGCGGAAUUUCCGGUGUAGCGGUGAAAUGCGUAGAUAUCGGAAGGAACGCCAGUGGCGAAAGCGGCUUCCUGGUCCAGCACCGACGUUCAGGCACGAAAGCGUGGGGAGCAAACAGG
rnacentral:rRNA from 1 species